GCCGUGAUAGUAUAGUGGCAGUACGUGGCGUUGUGGCCGCCUCGACGCAGGUUCGAUUCCUGCUCACGGCA
rfam:Rhizopus microsporus genome assembly, contig: SCAF90